CGGCGGAGGGGAGCCGUGUGGGCGCCGCGGAGGACUUUCCUAUAAAAGCAGGAAUCCCACGGCCAACCGAGCUUGUCUCUCUGUCACAGGCAAGACAAGAGCCGCGAGUCCCCGCCAGCAGCUGCGUUAUUUCUCCCGCCACAGCUCGGAAAAGCAUCCCGACCUCACCUAAUAGGAAAGCUUUAGUCUAUGGUUCUGACUGACGCUCCAACAAGGAUGUCCCGGACCGACGAGGUGCACCGUAUAACGGAGAAUGUCUACAAGUCCAUCAUGGAGCAGUUCAACCCCUGCUUACGGAACUUCAUAGCCAUGGGGAAGAGCUACGAGAAGGCGCUGACCAGUGUCACAUUUGCUGCAAAGGGCUACUUCGACGCUCUGGUGCGGAUGGGCGAGAUGGCCAGCGAAAGUCAAGGCUCUAAGGAUCUUG